UCCACCCAGCAAGCUGAAGAAUUUACAUCACUUUGUGCGUGGUACGUGGCAACACGGGUAUGCCCAAGCUUGGACAAAAGUCCGGAAGGUCUAUUUUCCAUAUAAUCUGAAAGGGUCUCACUGGGUUGCAAUCGAAGUUGAUUUUGUCAGACAUACUGCAACUGUGUAUGACUCCUAUGUUGAUUUUACCAAACGUUCAAAGCUGGUUACGCUUCUGCACCCUAUUAGCGAUACGCUGGCACGAGUGCUGUACGAUAUGCACUUUUAUGAUGAUUCUGAGGUUGAAGAGGUGAAGCAAAAGGGGCGGACGAUGUCGAUGUAUACGCCAUUCUCAGUGUGCAGCAUUGCAGAUGUGCCACAACAACGAGAUGGGUAAGCUUUGUGAAUUUAGUGCAGUUUAUCCAAAUUU
rnacentral:lncRNA from 1 species